rnacentral:lncRNA from 1 species
GUCCCGGGUGGCGAAGACACGCGCUGAUUGGGCGACAGAAGCUACUUUCUCUUCCCAUCCCUGACAGUGCCCAGGCCUCCACCGACCCGGAGGGGGACCAGCUCUGUGCCCCUUUCCUGAGAAAGAAGGGUAGACAGCACUCUCGGGUUCACAUGCCACCAACCCAUCUCCACCCAGAAGUCCCGACGGAUCUUGAGAGCACUGAGCGGACACAGCAGCUAGAACAUUUCUAAAGCUCCAUGGCGAAGGCCAAGGCGAGAGUGGGAGCAGAAUUACUUUGAAUUCCGAGCUUGGGAACGGGAGAAUCACGAGCGUAACUCUGAACAGAUGAAAACUGACCAUCUUGGACAAUGAAACGAAGAAGCAGCCAGAGAGACGCCAGAAUUUAGCGCGUGCAACUGCAGCGCAAGCGCCGCCGGCAAGGCCCUCUCAAAGUCAUCUUGCAGAUAGCUGUCCUGGGUCCGCGUGGUGGCAACUCAUUAAAGUCACUGUGGAAGGUUUGCCCCUUCUUGAGACAGAGAAAAAAAAAAGCUUCACGAUGGGGUAUUCCAAUUCCCAGCAUAGAGCCAAGAGUCAAGACAAGUAGCCCCAAGAGGAAUGCGAGUCAGAGAGCCUUUCUUCUUUCUUCUUUUCUUUGCCAAACGAAAUCUAAUACUAUCUGGCUGCAAAAAUAUAUAUCACCGGCUCUGAGUCUGAAAGAUUAACAUUCGGAUACGUAGGAAAUGUAAUCUGCAUGGCUAAUUGAUUCUCAGCGUAUCAGUUUAAAGGAUAAAGAUCGAUAUCUGCAUAUGAUGGAUAUUGUAUUAAUAGGGACAUAAAUAAAGGCCGAAGAGUCGUUACCGAAACCUUUGAAGCUGCUUCCUGGCUCUGCCGCCCUUGUAGGGGCCACUCUGUCACCCCCACCUUCGGCAGAGCUGGAAGUACUGGCAGAGGGAGUGGAGUCAACAUAAGAACCAGGGAGGAUUUUUAAGCAGCUGAACUAUAGGGAGAGAAGGACACUUUUUCUCCAGGGCUAGUGGAGAUGGACUGUAAUGCGCACGGGGAGAUGGGGGUGAACGUACCACACCCGGACACCUAGAAACUCAGACACACUAACACUCAGGGGUGGGUUUCCGUGUAAACCUUAGUGUUAGGAAAAGGGAGCCAGCGCUUAUCCACCUCGGCCUCGGCUCCCAGAACACCUACCAAAGUCCUAGGAAAAGCCAGAAGUGGGUGAUUCUGGUGGGGGGUAGGGAUCCAGCUCGUGCCCUCUGGGAGGGUCGGAGGCAGCUCAAAAGGCUGGUGUCCUCCACAGGGAGCUGGCGAGUGCCCUCCGAGGCAGGCCACCUCUUCUGAAGAAAGAGAGGCUCAUCUAGAGCACAGGGUCUGGAGGGGAUUUAGAGGUGAGCCCCGGGAAUGGACCCUCCUAGUCAGCGGGGCGAAGAAAUGAAGGUGGAGUACGGGGAUCCCUACAAGAACCCCUCCACCCACUGAUUGCCAAUUAGCCUUGAGUGCUACUGGCCUGCUCCACAGCGGAGCUCGAGCUCACACUGCC